rnacentral:rRNA from 1 species
AGUGAACGCUGGCGGUAGGCCUAACACAUGCAAGUCGAACGGCAGCACAGUAAGAGCUUGCUCUUACGGGUGGCGAGUGGCGGACGGGUGAGGAAUACAUCGGAAUCUACUUUUUCGUGGGGGAUAACGUAGGGAAACUUACGCUAAUACCGCAUACGACCUACGGGUGAAAGCAGGGGAUCUUCGGACCUUGCGCGAUUGAAUGAGCCGAUGUCGGAUUAGCUAGUUGGCGGGGUAACGGCCCACCAAGGCGACGAUCCGUAGCUGGUCUGAGAGGAUGUUCAGCCACACUGAAGCUGGGACACGGUCCAGACUCCUACGGGAGGCAGCAGUGGGGAAUAUUGGACAAUGGGCGCAAUCCUGAUCCAGCCAUGCCGCGUGGGUGAAGAAGGCCUUCGGGUUGUAAAGCCCUUUUGUUGGGAAAGAAAAGCAGCGGGUUAAUACCCCGCUGUUCUGACGGUACCCAAAGAAUAAGCACCGGCUAACUUCGUG